UACGUAGGGGGCUAGCGUUGUCCGGAAUCAUUGGGCGUAAAGAGCGUGUAGGCGGCCCGGUAAGUCCGCUGUAAAAGUCAAAGGCUCAACCUUUGAAUGUCAGUGGAUACUGCCGGGCUAGAGUCCGGAAGAGGCGAGUGGAACUCCUGGUGUAGCGGUGGAAUGCGCAGAUAUCAGGAAGAACACCAACGGCGAAGGCAGCUCGCUGGGACGGUACUGACGCUGGGACGCGAAAGCGUGGGGAGCGAACAGG
rnacentral:rRNA from 1 species